GACGAACGCUGGCGGCGUGCUUAACACAUGCAAGUCGAACGGAAAGGCCCUGGUUUUGUGGGCUGCUCGAGUGGCGAACGGGUGAGUAACACGUGAGUAACCUGCCCUUGACUUUGGGAUAACUUCAGGAAACUGGGGCUAAUACCGGAUAGGAGAUCCUGCUGCAUGGUGGGGGCUGGAAAGUUUUGGCGGUUGGGGAUGGACUCGCGGCUGAUCAGCUUGUUGGUGGGGUAGUGGCUUACCAAAGCGUCAACGGGUAGCCGGCCUUAGAGGGGGACCGGCCACAUUGGGACUGUGAUACGGCCCAGACACCUACGGGAGACACCAGGGGGGAAUAUUGCACAAUGGGCGGAAGCCUGAUGCAGCAACGCCGCGUGCGGGAUGACGGCCUUCGGGUUGUAAACCGCUUUCGCCUGUGACGAAGCGUGAAUGACGGUAAUUGAUAAAGAAGCACCGGCUAACUACGUG
rnacentral:rRNA from 1 species